GACGAACGCUGGCGGCGUGCUUAACACAUGCAAGUCGAACGGAAAGGCCCCAGCUUGCUGGGGUACUCGAGUGGCGAACGGGUGAGUAACACGUGGGUGAUCUGCCCUGCACUCUGGGAUAAGCCUGGGAAACUGGGUCUAAUACCGGAUAGGACCGUGCUUUAGUGUGUGCGGUGGAAAGUUUUUCGGUGCAGGAUGAGCCCGCGGCCUAUCAGCUUGUUGGUGGGGUAAUGGCCUACCAAGGCGGCGACGGGUAGCCGGCCUGAGAGGGUGUACGGCCACAUUGGGAUUGAGACACGGCCCAGACUCCUACGGGAGGCAGCAGUGGGGAAUAUUGCACAAUGGGCGCAAGCCUGAUGCAGCGACGCCGCGUGGGGGAUGACGGCCUUCGGGUUGUAAACCCCUUUCGGCAGGGACGAAGCUUUUGUGACGGUACCUGCAUAAGAAGCACCGGCUAACUACGUG
rnacentral:rRNA from 1 species